rnacentral:sRNA from 1 species
CCCGAUUAUGGCGCGGCGGGCGACGGGGCAAGGGUCUGGUCCCAGGGCUCAGUCAGGCCUUUCCACCAUUCGACGAACCUUGUACUGUUCAUGACCCAGACCAAUGCUCGAUGUCGGGGUUGUCGUGAUUUUCACCCGAGAAAUUGCCCCACACCGGGUGUGAGUUACGCCGCAGUUACAUACUCAUACUACUAACGAAACUGAAACUACCAACCUGAAUCGAGAGGAAACUACAAGGAGGUUUAUUUACCCAGGCAUGAGCAUUCAAGAUAUAUCUAGGUAACUUCUGAUCAAAAAGAUCACUCACAAUUGACAGCUGCUGCUGUCGGUUCAAAAAGGUUUUGUAUCGGCCUGGGAGGUUGAGUUAAACUAAAAAAUUAUUGACAUAAAGGAUAUUCUUUGCUAUUGAUGAGGCAAACCAAUCACUGGUGGUUGAAAUUAUCUCAAUCGCAGGCAAUCAACGAUCCUUUAGUGUGUACACUCAGAACAUGUUUAUAGUUUAAAUUCCUAGCGACAUAAAACCGUUAAUGGUGAUGUCUGUCGUAUUCAAUGAUAGGACAGCCCUCCGUACAUUCAGCAUGGUGUUGUAAACCCCUUCCUCAAUUCGAUACCCGGCCGCCCGAAAUUAUCCUUAUUGACUCCUGUGAACCGAAAUAGGUGCCAAACUAUAACAUCUAGUCCAAACGCUAUGGAAAACCAAAAAAUAAAAACCGCAAACCGCCCAUGAUAUAACCUGCCCGGGGUGGCGAUUCCUAGAUAUUCAAAGGCAACUAUCCCGGAUAUCCAAGGUCCCCGCUCCCUCAUUCUGGAGUUUGCCGAGAAAUAUUAACAUGAAAAUUCAACCCAAUUGUUUGACUAAUGUUAUAACACUGUCUAGCCUGGGGCUCACAUUUGCUUUGGCGAGGAGAAUGGAGGACAUCAGAUCUAAUAUUAGGUUGGCGUUCGACCGGUGGGACAGAGCAAGCAGCCCCCGACAAUACUGCCUCCCAAGAAGCGAUCGGGAUACAGGGGAAUUCAAAAUGGUGGUGUGGAACUGUAGAAACUGAGUUAGAUUGCCCCAUUGAAUUCUUUGAAGCUAGGGUUAGUAGUAAUGUUGGGACACUAUCUAGAGGAGAUAGCAGACAUCCAUUUCUGUUCAUCGCUUCUAUAUGCAAAAGAUAAAAAUCGUCAGUAUGUCGGAAAACAGUGAAUCGGGGAAGAAGGGUUGCAGUAGUGAAAGCCACAUACGAGUCAAACUGCAGCAGCAUCCCCAGGACUGGAAUGAGCUGCUUCUGGUAGUUCUUGUCCCUCUGCUCUAGGAACUGCAACAGAACAUUCUUAAGGUACACGUAGUCAACCCCACCCACAUCUGAGCCCUGAAGAGUUGCACUCCUACCCUGAGAAUGAGGCGAUACGAGUCCACCACUACGUGGCUGUUGCAUAUCAGAAUCCAGUGAUGACCGUGGUGAUCGGCUAGAACCCGUAUUGCUCGACUCGAACCCAUGCCGUUUGCUGGCUUUGGACACCUUUCCAUCCUCUGUCAAUGUCCUAUUUGAUUUGCGAAGUUUAUCAAGCCGCCGGUUCGUUGCCUCGACGGAGCGGCGCAGUUCUGCAUUCUCUUUCUCCAGCUCCCGUAUCUGCCUCUCACCCUCGUCGAGGGUGUCUCGCAGGUGCGUCAUCGUCGCAUGAACGUCGCUAAGUUCCCGUUUCGAUCGCUCUGUUUCUACUUCAAGUUCACCCUGCCGCCGUUUCCACUCUUUCUGCGCGUACUCUAGCUCUUCUUUGUCCUGUUCCACUCGCCGCAACGUACGCUCCAUAUCGCGAGUUCUCGUCCUAAGCUCUUCGAUCUCUCUCGUCCGUUUGCGUCCAACGAGGCUAGCUUCGUCUUCUGCCCGAUCACGUUCUUCAAUGGCUGCUUCUAAGCGCUCCUUAAAUUCACGAACCUUAGCAUCUGUCCUCAUCUCAAUGUCUGAUAGCAGCCGUCGCAUUGUUUCACACUCUCGAGUGCGCUCAGAGAAGAGGCGGUGAGCAUCAGCGACUUCCUCCUCAAGACUGACGCAACGUUCACGAGCUUCUUUAACCUGCAUGGCCAUCUCAGACGCUUGGUCGCGCAUGCUGUUCAUUAAGCUUUGUGCACUAGCGUGCUGUGCAGUUUUCAAUUGGAGUUCAUCUCGUAAGCUUUCGAUGUCUCGGUUAAGCUGUUCCGUGUGCUCCUCAACUUCCAGCAAUCUCGUUCGCGAUGACCUUAGCUCUUCCUGUGUCUUCGCAAGGGUUUUUGCUGUCUUCUCAUUCGUCUCUAUGGCCUCUUGCUUUUUCCCUUCAGAGUAGCGUAGAUCGGAUUGCGCAACCUCCAAUGCUUGCUCUGCCUUAACUCGGCUAGAAAGGGCUUUAGUGACCCUUUGGUUCAGGGAUUUUAUUUCUGCUUCCUGCUCUCCAAUCUUACCACUUAAGUUUUUCAUUUCAGAUCGAAGGUCUUCAUGGCGCCUCUCCAAACGCUUUAGGUCGUUGGUUUUGUUCCUAAGGUCCUCUUUGGAUGUUUUAAGUUCGACUGAUUCAGCCCGAAGAUUCCUCAAUUCAGGUUGAACUUUUUCGAGAGUUUCUCUUAAGAUCGUCAAAUCCUUGAACCGUGACGCGGCGAGUUGCUGAGCAGCGGAAAGGUCUGUUUGCAAUGCCGUAGCUUUUAUCUUCAACUCCUCAAAUUCGACCGCCAGAUCUCUGUGAGCAUCCUCAUUUUGACGGGAGCUGGAAGAUACUUGUGUUCGUAGAUCAUGCAAUUCCUUUUCUAAUUCCUGGAUGGUGUGGCCAAGUGUUUUCUUUUCUGUUAAGAGUUCUUUAACUUUCUCUCUGGCCUCGACACAACUCUGUCCAAUAUCACGAAGCCCAUCACGUAAAGAAUCAAUCUCUUCUCGUAGUUCUUCUUCACCCUUAAGCUUAGAAUCAAGUCUGCUAAUGGCGGCUUCCUUCCCUGCGAGUUGUAUUGUAAGAUACUCGAUCAUUUUCUCGAGUUCAGCGAUGCCGUUGGAGGUUUUGGGUGAAGGAGGGGAUUCCGUCUUUGGAAUAAUCGGAGGCUGAGGGGCUUCAUCUGCACCGUCUUUUCCAUCCUUCUUCUUCUUCCUCUUGCUUUUCUUCUUACCCCCACCAGCCGCAGCAAUGGUAUUCUGACUAGCGACACUAGGCUGAGUGU